rfam:Cryptococcus pinus CBS 10737 unplaced genomic scaffold supercont1.4, whole genome shotgun sequence.
GGCGUUGUGCGAUAGUGGUUAUUCGGCGGGUCUAGAAUCUUUUACAUCUAUAACCCGUGCUUUCGGGCUCGUAGGUUCAAAUCCUGCCAACGUCG